GCCAGGCAUGGUGUUGCAUGCCUGUAAUCCUAGCGGCUCUGGAGGCUGAGACAGGACAAUCAUGAGUUCAAAGUCAGCUCAGCAACUCAGUGAGACCCUGCCUCUA
rnacentral:sRNA from 1 species